GGUUAAGCGACUAAGCGUACACGGUGGAUGCCCUGGCAGUCAGAGGCGAUGAAGGGCGUGCUAAUCUGCGAUAAGCGCCGGUAAGGUGAUAUGAACCGUUAUAACCGGCGAUACCCGAAUGGGGAAACCCAGUGUGACUCGUCACACUAUCAUUAACUGAAUCCAUAGGUUAAUGAGGCGAACCGGGGGAACUGAAACAUCUAAGUACCCCGAGGAAAAGAAAUCAACCGAGAUUCCCCCAGUAGCGGCGAGCGAACGGGGAGGAGCCCAGAGCCUGAAUCAGCAUGUGUGUUAGUGGAAGCGUCUGGAAAGGCGCGCGAUACAGGGUGACAGCCCCGUACACAAAAGCGCAUGUGCUGUGAGCUCGAUGAGUAGGGCGGGACACGUGGUAUCCUGUCUGAAUAUGGGGGGACCAUCCUCCAAGGCUAAAUACUCCUGACUGACCGAUAGUGAACCAGUACCGUGAGGGAAAGGCGAAAAGAACCCCGGCGAGGGGAGUGAAAAAGAACCUGAAACCGUGUACGUACAAGCAGUGGGAGCACCCUUUGGGGUGUGACUGCGUACCUUUUGUAUAAUGGGUCAGCGACUUAUAUUCUGUAGCAAGGUUAACCGCAUAGGGGAGCCGGAGGGAAACCGAGUCUUAAUUGGGCGUUAAGUUGCAGGGUAUAGACCCGAAACCCGGUGAUCUAGCCAUGGGCAGGUUGAAGGUUGGGUAACACUAACUGGAGGACCGAACCGACUAAUGUUGAAAAAUUAGCGGAUGACCUGUGGCUGGGGGUGAAAGGCCAAUCAAACCGGGAGAUAGCUGGUUCUCCCCGAAAGCUAUUUAGGUAGCGCCUCGUGAAUUCAUCUCCGGGGGUAGAGCACUGUUUCGGCUAGGGGGCCAUCCCGGCUUACCAACCCGAUGCAAACUGCGAAUACCGGAGAAUGUUAUCACGGGAGACACACGGCGGGUGCUAACGUCCGUCGUGAAGAGGGAAACAACCCAGACCGCCAGCUAAGGUCCCAAAGUCAUGGUUAAGUGGGAAACGAUGUGGGAAGGCCCAGACAGCCAGGAUGUUGGCUUAGAAGCAGCCAUCAUUUAAAGAAAGCGUAAUAGCUCACUGGUCGAGUCGGCCUGCGCGGAAGAUGUAACGGGGCUAAACCAUGCACCGAAGCUGCGGCAGCGACACUGUGUGUUGUUGGGUAGGGGAGCGUUCUGUAAGCCUGUGAAGGUGGCCUGUGAGGGUUGCUGGAGGUAUCAGAAGUGCGAAUGCUGACAUAAGUAACGAUAAAGCGGGUGAAAAGCCCGCUCGCCGGAAGACCAAGGGUUCCUGUCCAACGUUAAUCGGGGCAGGGUGAGUCGACCCCUAAGGCGAGGCCGAAAGGCGUAGUCGAUGGGAAACGGGUUAAUAUUCCCGUACUUGGUGUUACUGCGAAGGGGGGACGGAGAAGGCUAUGUUGGCCGGGCGACGGUUGUCCCGGUUUAAGCGUGUAGGUGUGUGUUCCAGGUAAAUCCGGUUCACUUUAACACUGAGGCGUGAUGACGAGGCACUACGGUGCUGAAGCAACAAAUGCCCUGCUUCCAGGAAAAGCCUCUAAGCAUCAGGUAACAUCAAAUCGUACCCCAAACCGACACAGGUGGUCAGGUAGAGAAUACCAAGGCGCUUGAGAGAACUCGGGUGAAGGAACUAGGCAAAAUGGUGCCGUAACUUCGGGAGAAGGCACGCUGACACGUAGGUGAAGUGAUUUACUCACGGAGCUGAAGUCAGUCGAAGAUACCAGCUGGCUGCAACUGUUUAUUAAAAACACAGCACUGUGCAAACACGAAAGUGGACGUAUACGGUGUGACGCCUGCCCGGUGCCGGAAGGUUAAUUGAUGGGGUCAGCGCAAGCGAAGCUCCUGAUCGAAGCCCCGGUAAACGGCGGCCGUAACUAUAACGGUCCUAAGGUAGCGAAAUUCCUUGUCGGGUAAGUUCCGACCUGCACGAAUGGCGUAAUGAUGGCCAGGCUGUCUCCACCCGAGACUCAGUGAAAUUGAACUCGCUGUGAAGAUGCAGUGUACCCGCGGCAAGACGGAAAGACCCCGUGAACCUUUACUAUAGCUUGACACUGAACAUUGAGCCUUGAUGUGUAGGAUAGGUGGGAGGCUUUGAAGUGUGGACGCCAGUCUGCAUGGAGCCGACCUUGAAAUACCACCCUUUAAUGUUUGAUGUUCUAACGUGGACCCGUAAUCCGGGUUGCGGACAGUGUCUGGUGGGUAGUUUGACUGGGGCGGUCUCCUCCUAAAGAGUAACGGAGGAGCACGAAGGUUGGCUAAUCCUGGUCGGACAUCAGGAGGUUAGUGCAAUGGCAUAAGCCAGCUUGACUGCGAGCGUGACGGCGCGAGCAGGUGCGAAAGCAGGUCAUAGUGAUCCGGUGGUUCUGAAUGGAAGGGCCAUCGCUCAACGGAUAAAAGGUACUCCGGGGAUAACAGGCUGAUACCGCCCAAGAGUUCAUAUCGACGGCGGUGUUUGGCACCUCGAUGUCGGCUCAUCACAUCCUGGGGCUGAAGUAGGUCCCAAGGGUAUGGCUGUUCGCCAUUUAAAGUGGUACGCGAGCUGGGUUUAGAACGUCGUGAGACAGUUCGGUCCCUAUCUGCCGUGGGCGCUGGAGAACUGAGGGGGGCUGCUCCUAGUACGAGAGGACCGGAGUGGACGCAUCACUGGUGUUCGGGUUGUCAUGCCAAUGGCACUGCCCGGUAGCUAAAUGCGGAAGAGAUAAGUGCUGAAAGCAUCUAAGCACGAAACUUGCCCCGAGAUGAGUUCUCCCUGAGACUUAGAGUCUCCUGAAGGAACGUUGAAGACGACGACGUUGAUAGGCCGGGUGUGUAAGCGCAGCGAUGCGUUGAGCUAACCGGUACUAAUGAACCGUGAGGCUUAACCUU
rnacentral:rRNA from 1 species